AUUGAACGCUGGCGGCAGGCCUAACACAUGCAAGUCGAGCGCAGCGGCUUACGGGUGAGUAAUUCCUAGGUAUCUGCCUGGUCUCGUGGGGUAACGUCCCGAAACGAGCCCUUAUACCGCAUACUAUUAGCUGCGCCUUGGUCUGAUUGGCUAGUUGGUGGGGUAAUGGCCUACAAAGGCGACGAUCCGUAACUGGUCUGAGAGGCUGAUCAGUCAAACUGGAACUGAGACAGGGUCCAGACGCCAACGGGAGGAGGCAGAGGGGAAGAUUGGACAAUGGGCGAAAGCCUGAUGAAGACAUGCCGCGUGUGGGAAGAAGGUCUUCGGAUUGUAAAGCACUUUAAGUGGGGAGGCGUUACCAACAGAAUAAGCACCGGCUAACUUCGUGCCAGCAGCCGCGGUAAUUC
rnacentral:rRNA from 1 species